rnacentral:rRNA from 1 species
CACUAUUAAAAUAACUAACUAAUAGCUCCGCCUGCUCAAUGACUCUAAAUAGCCGCAAAACCAAUGUGCUAAGGUAGCAUAAUCAUUAGCCACCUAACUAGUGGAUAGUAUGAAAGACCUAACGAAUAGCAAAAAGUAUCUAAUACAAAACAUAAAACUCACAAAAAAGUAAAAAGACUCAAAUAAACAUGAAAGACGAAAAGACCCUGUCAAACUUAACUACAAAAGUUAGGCUGGGGCGGCCAAAAAAAAAACCUUAACAACAUAAAAAUACACCACUCAAACCAAUAUUAAUCACUAAGUUACUGCAGGGAUAACAGUGUCACAACUCACAAGAGUACAUAUUCAAUGAGUAAACUACAACCUCGAUGUUGAAUAAUAASCUAUUAUGGAGCAAAAGCUAUACAAGGAGAGUCUGUUCGACUCAUAAAAAAUUACA